UGGGAAUGGCUCCCGCUAGAUAUAUGACCUCCUAAAGCCGUGGCCUAGGCUAAAAAUGGCGCCUCAAACAGACGCAUAUAAUACUUCCUCAAAGGAAGAAGUCUUUGAUGCACCCGAUGACAUACCCUGCGCCAAGAGCAUAAUCACCCCUCAAAGAGGAGAAGACCUGACAGCCCCAGCUACAAAAGGGGAUAUCAAAACUCUGAUGACAAACAUAAGAGCCUUCCUCAAUGCUGAUAUGAAUAUAAUACGUGAGGACAUAACAGUGGUGACAGCCAGAGUGCAGGCUAACGAGGAUACCAUCACCU